GCUAGAUUUGGUCGCAAAAGGCCAUGCUGUGGAAGAUAUUCCUGGUGUUGGGUUCAAGGUUGUGAAGAUGUUUGGUGUGUCACUUUUGGCUCUCUUCCAAGAGAAGAAAGAGAAGUCCAGAUCUUAAAUAUCACUUUCUGGUCAAAUGCAAGUGUGUUCGGAAUUAAUUUUUGUUAGGAUACAAAAUAUCAUUUUUUUUUCUUUUUCCCUAAUUUCCAACUAGUAUACUUUGUCCAUGAAUAUAUCCAGGACAUUUGUUUCACCU
rnacentral:misc_RNA from 1 species